rnacentral:snRNA from 1 species
GUGUGUGCUUCAGCUGCAUAUAUACUAAAAUGAUUAGCAUGGCCCCUGUGCAAGGAUGACACUCAAAUUCGUGAAAUAGUCCAUAUUUUA